rnacentral:rRNA from 1 species
AGUGAACGCUGGCGGUAGGCCUAACACAUGCAAGUCGAACGGCAGCACAGUAAGAGCUUGCUCUUACGGGUGGCGAGUGGCGGACGGGUGAGGAAUACAUCGGAAUCUACUUUUUCGUGGGGGAUAACGUAGGGAAACUUACGCUAAUACCGCAUACGACCUACGGGUGAAAGCAGGGGAUCUUCGGACCUUGCGCGAUUGAAUGAGCCGAUGUCGGAUUAGCUAGUUGGCGGGGUAAAGGCCCACCAAGGCGACGAUCCGUAGCUGGUCUGAGAGGAUGAACAGGCAAAAUUGAACUGAGACACGGUCCAGACUCCUACGGGAGGCAGCAGUGGGGAAUAUUGGACAAUGGGCGCAAGCCUGAUCCAGCCAUACCGCGUGGGUGAAGAAGGCCUUCGGGUUGUAAAGCCCUUUUGUUGGGAAAGAAAAGCAGCAGGUUAAUACCCCGCUGUUCUGACGGUACCCAAAGAAUAAGCACCGGCUAACUUCGUG